CUGAGGACGCCCAGCUCCCAGGGCAGUGGCAGGUCCCAGAGGGAAGGGCAGUGGGGAGAUGAAAAGCUGGGAUGCAUGGAUGGAUGGGUGGAUGGUGGCCAAAGCAAGGACUUGGCAACGGGCAAAUAGGAAAGUAUUUUCCUGCACACCUGCAACAUGGACUGGAGAAAGGUGUUAACCCAGCAUGAAUGACCUGGGGUCCUCACCUCCAGAAGAACUACCAGGAUCGCCAGUGCAGAGAAGUGCAGGGUGACUGAUGGGAUGGAAGGACUGAUGGGACACUGCUGGAGCCCAGCCUUUUGGAUUGUCCUUUGCUUGAUCUCUUCCGUACUCAACCCCAGCACUGGCUGUUUCCCACUGCACCCCACCCCCACUCUUCCCCCUCUUUCCUUCUUGCCCUCUUUCCUAUCCCUAUCUCUCUACCCUGCAUUUAUUGUUAAAUAAAAUCCCUUUUGUUGACUUUG